rnacentral:tRNA from 1 species
GAGAAAUUAGUUAAAAAAUAACAUUAGGUUGUCAUCCUAAAAUUUAAAAUUUCUCU